rnacentral:rRNA from 1 species
CCUCCUUGUGACUGCAGUUUUUCCUCUGGGACAAUGGGCGAAAGCCUGAUCCAGCCAUGCCGCGUGUGUGAAGAAGGCCUUCGGGUUGUAAAGCACUUUCAGUGGGGAAGAAAGCCUUGGGGCUACUACCCUCGAGGAAGGACAUCACCCACAGAAUAAGCACCGGCUAACUCCGUGCCAGCAGCCGCGGUAAUACGGAGGGUGCGAGCGUUAAUCGGAAUUACUGGGCGUAAAGCGCGCGUAGGCGGUCUGAUAAGCCGGUUGUGAAAGCCCCGGGCUCAACCUGGGAACGGCAUCCGGAACUGUCAGGCUAGAGUGCAGGAGAGGAAGGUAGAAUUCCCGGUGUAGCGGUGAAAUGCGUAGAGAUCGGGAGGAAUACCAGUGGCGAAGGCGGCCUUCUGGACUGACACUGACGCUGAGGUGCGAAAGCGUGGGUAGCAAACAGGAUUAGAUACCCCGGUAGUC